rnacentral:tRNA from 1 species
GGGCGCUUAGCUCAGGGGUAGAGCGCACGCUUCGCAUGCGUGAGGUCGUGGGUUCGAUUCCCACAGCGUCCA